CCUAUCAUAUACGCGAGUCGCUCGGUCUUGUNUAGGCCCGAGAGGCGAAAUGAAAGUAAAACUACGAGGCUUCGGUCGCAGUAGUAGCUCGCUUACUUCGUUUUUUGGCGAUCAAGCGAAGCUGGAGCGUAUACGAUGGU
rnacentral:rRNA from 1 species